UUGAGUCUUAUAAGCGGAUAACCUUUCAAGCAAUAGUUGUGUGUUAUGUUUGCAUUGUUUAUAUAUAAUACACAAAUCUAGUUUUACUUGUUAAUAGAGUGCAAGAAAUAAAAGUACAUUUCCAAAUAAUCAAUUCAAAGUUUGAGUUGAGUUGAGUUUGUCAUUUAGUUUGUUUUCUGUACUCAAUUUUGUCAGUUUCCCUCAAGUGUGUUUUGCGAUUUUUAUAAUAGAUAAAAUAUUGCGGUGAAUCGACUUGAUUAAAAAUAAACAUUCUUGCGGUCCAACUGAAGCUAACAUCGAUAAAUUGAUGGAAAUGAUCACUAAAUAUCAUGAUUUAAUUUAAAAGAGGUUGUUUCAGAUCUUUCUGCGUUUCACGAAUCAAUUUGCACGAUUUUACACAAUUGUUUGGGCAUGAAACACUCGCAAUUGCACUAGUUUCGAAACACCUUGAAAUUUCUCAAAAAUUCAAUGGCGUAACGGUCGCUGAAAAUAUGCUGAGAAUGAAUCAAUUCCGUUCCCACAUUAAAAACGCAUUAUAACUGUCGCGAAAUGGAAAGUUCCCGGCAAGAAUUGAAGUCGAUUCUGGCAAAUCUCUUUCAAAAAUGUUCAGAUGAUUGGAUUACUCGCUGGCAUAUGCCUAUUAUUCCGAAACGUACCUGCUUUGAAGGAUGUAUAAUGCUCAUAAUCUUACAGCUUUUCGAAGCUGGUCUUCUGGUGCUGGACCUGCUCAACACCCCUAGAGGCUGCAGAACCUCCGAGUUUGAAGGUGGAACUACGACCCAGACUACAUCUCAG
rnacentral:misc_RNA from 1 species